AUUGAACGCUGGCGGCAUGCCUUACACAUGCAAGUCGAACGGCAGCACGGGUGCUUGCCCCUGGUGGCGAGUGGCGAACGGGUGAGUAAUACAUCGGAACAUGUCCUGUAGUGGGGGAUAGCCCGGCGAAAGCCGGAUUAAUACCGCAUACGAUCUACGGAUGAAAGCGGGGGACCUUCGGGCCUCGCGCUAUAGGGUUGGCCGAUGGCUGAUUAGCUAGUUGGUGGGGUAAAGGCCUACCAAGGCGACGAUCAGUAGCUGGUCUGAGAGGACGACCAGCAACACUGGGACUGAGACACGGCCCAGACUCCUACGGGAGGCAGCAGUGGGGAAUUUUGGACAAUGGGCGAAAGCCUGAUCCAGCAAUGCCGCGUGUGUGAAGAAGGCCUUCGGGUUGUAAAGCACUUUUGUCCGGAAAGAAAUCCUUGGCCCUAAUACGGUCGGGGGAUGACGGUACCGGAAGAAUAAGCACCGGCUAACUACGUG
rnacentral:rRNA from 1 species